GUACCUUCAAGCCUUGCUUGGUGUUGGGCGUCGCGGCUCCCGCGCGCCUUGAAGUCUCCGGCCGAGCUGUCCGUCUCUAAGCGUUGUGAUACAUAUUCGCUUUGGAGUGCGGGCGGUCGUGGCCGUUAAACUCUUUCAAA
rnacentral:misc_RNA from 1 species